UGGGGAAUUGUUCGCAAUGGGCGCAAGCCUGACGACGCAACGCCGCGUGGAGGAUGAAGAUCUUCGGGUCGUAAACUCCUUUCGAUCGGGACGAAUGAUCGGUGACCUAACACGUCAUCGGAAUGACGGUACCGAGAGAAGAAGCCCCGGCUAACUCCGUGCCAGCAGCCGCGGUAAUACGGGGGGGGCAAGCGUUGUUCGGAAUUACUGGGCGUAAAGGGCGCGUAGGCGGCCAACUAAGUCCGACGUGAAAUCCCCAGGCUUAACCUGGGAACUGCGUCGGAUACUGGAUGGCUUGAAUUCGGGAGAGGGAUGCAGAAUUCCAGGUGUAGCGGUGAAAUGCGUAGAUAUCUGGAGGAAUACCGGUGGCGAAGGCGGCAUCCUGGACCGACAUUGACGCUGAGGCGCGAAAGCUAGGGGAGCAAA
rnacentral:rRNA from 1 species